GGGUCGGUGGCACAGUGGUAGCGUAUGGGAUUGCAGUUAUAAACAACUAUCCUAUGGUCCCCGGUUCGAACCCGGGUCGGCCCU